GCGUGCUUAACACCUGCAAGUCGAACGAUGAUGCCCAGCUUGCUGGGCGGAUUAGUGGCGAACGGGUGAGUAACACGUGGGUGAUUUGCCCUGCACUUCGGGAUAAGCCUGGGAAACUGGGUCUAAUACCGGAUAUGACCACAGGAUGCAUGUUUUGUGGUGGAAAGGUUUACUGGUGCAGGAUGAGCCCGCGGCCUAUCAGCUUGUUGGUGGGGUAAUGGCCUACCAAGGCGACGACGGGUAGCCGGCCUGAGAGGGCGACCGGCCACACUGGGACUGAGACACGGCCCAGACUCCUACGGGAGGCAGCAGUGGGGAAUAUUGCACAAUGGGCGAAAGCCUGAUGCAGCGACGCCGCGUGAGGGAUGACGGCCUUCGGGUUGUAAACCUCUUUCAGCAGGGACGAAGCGCAAGUGACUGUACCUGCAGAAGAAGCACCGGCUAACUACGUGCCAGCAGCCGCGGUAAUACGUAGGGUGCGAGCGUUGUCCGGAAUUACUGGGCGUAAAGAGUUCGUAGGCGGUUUGUCGCGUCGUGUGUGAAAUCCCGCAGCUCAACUGCGGGCUUGCAGGCGAUACGGGCAGACUUGAGUACUGCAGGGGAGACUGGAAUUCCUGGUGUAGCGGUGAAAUGCGCAGAUAUCAGGAGGAACACCGGUGGCGAAGGCGGGUCUCUGGGCAGUAACUGACGCUGAGGAACGAAAGCGUGGGUAGCGAACAGGAUUAGAUACCCUGGUAGUCCACGCCGUAAACGGUGGGCGCUAGGUGUGGGUUUCCUUCCACGGGAUCCGUGCCGUAGCUAACGCAUUAAGCG
rnacentral:rRNA from 1 species